rnacentral:rRNA from 1 species
GACGAACGCUGGCGGCGUGCUUAACACAUGCAAGUCGAACGUGAUUUUUGUGGAAAUUCUUUCGGGAAUGGAAAUGAAAUGAAAGUGGCGAACGGGUGAGUAACACGUGAGCAACCUACCUUACACAGGGGGAUAGCCGUUGGAAACGACGAUUAAUACCGCAUGAGACCACAGAAUCGCAUGAUAUAGGGGUCAAAGAUUUAUCGGUGUAAGAAGGGCUCGCGUCUGAUUAGCUAGUUGGAAGGGUAAAGGCCUACCAAGGCGACGAUCAGUAGCCGGUCUGAGAGGAUGAACGGCCACAUUGGAACUGAGACACGGUCCAAACUCCUACGGGAGGCAGCAGUGGGGAAUAUUGCACAAUGGGGGGAACCCUGAUGCAGCGACGCCGCGUGAGCGAAGAAGGUUUUCGAAUCGUAAAGCUCUGUCCUAUGAGAAGAUAAUGACGGUAUCAUAGGAGGAAGCCCCGGCUAAAUACGUGCCAGCAGCCGCGGUAAUACGUAUGGGGCGAGCGUUGUCCGGAAUUAUUGGGCGUAAAGGGUACGUAGGCGGUUUUUUAAGUCAGGUGUGAAAGCGUGAGGCUUAACCUCAUUAAGCACUUGAAACUGGAAGACUUGAGUGAAGGAGAGGAAAGUGGAAUUCCUAGUGCAGCGGUGAAAUGCGUAGAUAUUAGGAGGAAUACCGGUGGCGAAGGCGACUUUCUGGACUUUUACUGACGCUCAGGUACGAAAGCGUGGGGAGCAAACAGG